rnacentral:tRNA from 1 species
GGUUAUGGCUCAGUGGUAGAGCGCUUGCCUAGCAUGCGUGGGGCACUGGGUUCAAUCUUCAGCACCA